GGAGAGGGGGCCGCGUGAGCUCUCGCGGCAGCCAUUUUCCUUAAAACAGGACUCAAUGGCCUAUAUGGGUUUCCUUUGUUCCAAAAGGGAUCUUUACACUUGGUUUCCUCAUCUCUUUACGGACUAUGAUAAAACCAACAUGGCUCGUCUUGUACCCUGCCCUGCAACGUUGGAAACUACCAGAAACACCUUAGGUUGGAGUCGUCCACACGCGUCCAAAGUGUAAAUGCUGGUUUGACCUUGCCUCAAGGGUAUAUCUGAAUAGCUAAAAGACGCAUAUUCAGGUAGUCCCUUUUGACAAAAACAAACAAAACAAACGUUCAUGUAAUAUUUAAAGCACAAACAAUUCCAAAUCGUAAUAGGAAACCGAUGGAGGGAAAACUUCUCAUGGUGAAGAUAUUUACCUCAACACUUUGGUGAAAUGCAGUUAACAGGCCUAAACGCAGGGACAGGAGGGAUGUUUUCAGCCCCAUCUUCGGAUCCUCUAAUAAUGGCUUUAAUAAGGGGUGGGAAUGCGUCUCCUGAAAAGGAAGGAAUUCCAUUAGCACGACAGUUAAACCUCUUUUCAAAAAAAAAAAGUCUCUUUCCCCCCUCUCUCAUCACUGGCGAGCAUACUCCAUCUGACAGUCAGCGAAUAUGCAUCUUCAAGCAUCAUCUGUGUGGGCAAUAUGCAAAACCAUCUCUUCUCUUCCUCAAGACAGCAUUGCAGUCGAUUAUAACCUCGUCCAUGUUCGACAUUUCUAACUGAGCUACAUCAUUUAAACCUACAUGGAAAUGUUUUAAAAAAGGUAAUGGAUUUUCUUUGAGCUAUUUCACCAAUCUUUUUUUAUGGCUUAUACAUGAACACAUUACACAUGUGCUUUUUAAAAAAAAAAAAAAACUUGACAAAAGUAUUAUAGGAAGAAAAGGAAAAAAAAUGCUACAACCCACAUUUUGUGAUAUAGCAAACUUACAGUUGAUAUUCAAAAAAUAUGUAAUCCAACUCUUUAAAAACGAGCAAAAAGCAAUCUUAUGGGGAAGAAAUCUUGUGUUUUUCACUGAUUCCUUACAUCCAAAUAAAACCUUUGGGUGGUCAGGAGUCUGCUCUUGCUCACUUACUUCUCUGUCUCAAAAUGGCUUCUUUACAGACAAAAGGAGCACUGUGCUGUGAAAUGUUGCUGCGCCAUAACUGGGUGAGGCUCCGAGAGCGCCCUUGUUUUUUUUGUUAUCGAACACGUCCUUCGACGUUUUCGGCACUUAAAACCUAAAAUAGCGGCUGUAAAGACGGUGGUUACCGUCCGAAUGCUGUAUACUUUAAUAAAAAAAAAAAAAGAGGGAGAAUGGUUGACCGUCCGUGUGGGGGUGAAACUUUGAUCAUAAAAGCGUACUCAGGCAGCCGGUUGCUAGGCUGGCUUGUAAUCCGAGAACUCUGGACGGUUGCCAUGAGAGCUCGAGCGCGCGGCGCUGCAGCAACAACCCCCACACACACUGCCAUAUAAGGUCAACGGGAAUCCGCUGCGGCAAGCCCCUUGUUUGUGCGCGUUGUAUCUAGGUGAAGGGUGCUUCGAGGCAGAAACCGGCGGAACAACAAGCGAGCAGCACGGCGUUUUUUUUUUUUUUUUUUUUUUUUUUUUUUUUAAAGCGCCGCAGACUAGUUAGUGGGAACAAAUGAGAUUGGAUUAUUUUUAUUUUUUUAUUUAUUUUUGUUAACUUCGGGGAAAGAGUUAAAUUUAUAGGUGGGAGGGUCUGUAUUCGCUCGCGCAAAGGAGGGGCGGGGGUCUCCAGGUGCAUUUCAAGGUUAAUGCAUUUUUCCCCCCCUCAAUGCGAGAUAAAUAGCAGGGCACAAAAAAGCCUUUUGUAUGCCAGAGGCCUGUUCACUGCGCAUUUUAUUCACGACCAACCCGAUGUGUUUGACUGAAGCAGUGAAAAUGUCAUCUUUAGUAGAGAGUUUAGCGUUGAAACCCACGAGUGAAGGUAUUUAUAGGCUUUUAUUUGCAGAAAAGCCUUCCCCUGUGGGCAGCGCCGCUCAGUUUUACUCCGCCGCUCAGCAGACUGGAAUAUUCCACACAGGGGAUUGGCCUCGUUUCCGCAGGACAGCUGUCGCUCUCUAUCUCUCUAUCUCUCUCUAUCUCUCUCUCUGUGUCUCUCUCUCUGUUUCUCUUUCUUUCUCUCUGUGCUCGGCGAGAAAAUAUUUCAAGAAUUGUUCUCUGUGAGUUGAUAAAGGGCUGUGUACGUGUGGACACUCUAUAGGACACAUUUACAGGCGACCAUUUUACGCAUAUGUGAAGCUUCGAGUUUCACUCAGUAAGUCCUACAAGCACGUUUUAUUGUUUAUUAGACAGGUUUUUUUUUCCCCCACAGCUUGAAACGGACUCUUUUACUCGUUUUAAAGCUGUAAGACUUCUUUUUUUUUUUUUUUUUUUUUUUUAACAUGUAUUGAAACAUGUACUUAAAGCUUUAAGGUGGUGAAGUUUUAUUGAUUCAAUGCAUCUUUCUAUUUCUAGUGACUUGCUAUGCUAAGAUUGAUGGUAUUUUAUUCGAUUGAAAACAAUAGGUUCUUUUUUGUGGCUCUUAAACAUUUGAAUGUAAUUAUAUUUUUUAUACUACAGACCUGCUUGUAGUUUUAUUUUUGUUUCUGACGUUUUAAUAAAGACUGUACACUAAUUUUGUUGAAUUUUGUGCUAUUAUUUUGUAAAGGAUUUCCAGGCCCACACUUUAUUGGGGGAAGGGACACAAAUGUGCAGGGAACAUUAUGUCAAAUACAGGCUGACAUUGUUGGCUCAAUCAUUUACAAAUCAGUAAUUCAUGCUUAUAAUAUAAAGAGAAGGCUUCCUCAGCGAGCUCACUUCCGACACCAAUCUUGAGAUUUGACUUGACAGACUGCCUUCGUGUUAAGAGAACGGGUCAGUCCUAGAACAUUUUGCCAUGUUCUGAUGGAUGAACGCUGACUCCCUGUGAUCUGCUCGCUCUGGGGACUCUACCCACAUGAGCAGAUCUUCAUCAAAGUUAAAACAUUUUUCAGAAUAUAAGCUUAUACAUUUAAUUUCUAGAGCACUGUUGCUUAAAUGCACUAAAGGAUCCGGAUGCUUUACGGGCAAAAAGUGAAUGUUUGCGUGUAUUGUGCAUCUAAACUUCCUUAACCCGAGUCAGAUAAACCAUCUCUGCCUCUGUGUCUAGAAUAGAAUAGCCUUUAUUUAUGCACACUGGGGAAAUUCUCUUCUUAACGAGAGCACAAGUGCAAAAUCCACACAAGUAAAAA